rnacentral:rRNA from 2 species
UAGGGAAUCUUCGGCAAUGGGGGGAACCCUGACCGAGCAACGCCGCGUGAGUGAAGAAGGUUUUCGGAUCGUAAAGCUCUGUUGUUAAGGAAGAACGAGUGUGAGAAUGGAAAGUUCAUGCUGUGACGGUACUUAACCAGAAAGGGACGGCUAACUACGUGCCAGCAGCCGCGGUAAUACGUAGGUCCCGAGCGUUGUCCGGAUUUAUUGGGCGUAAAGCGAGCGCAGGCGGUUAGAAAAGUCUGAAGUGAAAGGCAGUGGCUCAACCAUUGUAGGCUUUGGAAACUGUUUAACUUGAGUGCAGAAGGGGAGAGUGGAAUUCCAUGUGUAGCGGUGAAAUGCGUAGGUAUAUGGAGGAACACCGGUGGCGAAAGCGGCUCUCUGGUCUGUAACUGACGCUGAGGCUCGAAAGCGUGGGGAGCGAACAGG